rnacentral:snoRNA from 14 species
AGCCUCCUGUUUCCAGUCUAUCUGAUCUUGAUAUUGAUUUUGGUGAUUGUAACGGAGGAAAAAAAAUACACUGUCUAGCCUCAUAGCUAUGUAGUCUAAUGUAGAGCACAGGGCUAAAUUCAAACAGAC